AUGAAUCAUUCUUUGACUUUCAUCCUUCCUAGUAGCUGGAGUGAAGGCAUGAUAGCUGGAAUGCAAGCCACCAAGCUGGACAUGAGGUGGCAUCGAAGAAUGAGAGAGUGUGACAUGAAGGAUCCUUGUAGAACAGAACUGCCAUGCUCAGUUGAGACUGUGGCACUAUUCUCACAGCUGUAUCUAACCCUAAGUGAAAGGAGUGAAAGGAAGCUGGAGAGGAAAAUGUUGAAACAAAGACAACACAAGCUGAGCUAGCUCCGCGGGCCGCCUCCCGUGCGGAAAUGUCUGUUCCCAGACCUGCAGAAGGUUGGCUGGUUUAAUAAUCAUGACGCACACAGUGGAGUGGGCCUUGGGUCUUAGUUUCAGAUGAAGAGGUGCCUGUAAUAGAACGCUUUUCAGAAGCCUGAAAUCCCACGUGCUUUGUUUUGCUGCCUCUGUUUCCACAAUUCCCGCUUGCACAGGACUAUCCGCUCCUGCUCUGCGGCGGCCCCCACCUGCUGCCUGGGAUGCAGGGCUCCUCCACAGAGUCUGGUGCACUUGCACUGAAUCGAGUGCUGAGGCAUGCAAGGUUUUGAAUUAUUGCUGCUCCUCUCCAUCAGGUGUCUUUCACGAUGCAUGCAGGUUGUUAUUCUUGCGAUUUUAAAACGAGGACUGAAAGGAAAAGGGGGGAUGGGGUAAGUCUGUAAAUCUGUCAACCAGCAUAUGUGUAGGUGUAUCAAUAUGCAGAUUUCCUCUCACCUCACCACUCAAAACGAUUUUAUCAAGAAUCAACUUGAUGGAGGUAUAGCUGUGAAAAUUUGCCAAUGGAUUCUGUUGUUCCUGUUGCCAGUUCUCCCUUUGUGUCCUCUCACUAUCCCGUGAAAAGUGAGAGCAUUUUUUCCCCUGAAGUCUCGAGACCUCCUGACAGCAGGACUGUGUCAGAGCACCAGCGCAGGUGGGCUCAGCUGACACGUGUGCGCAGCAGUGGGGGCAGCCACACAGCAGCUUUGCUCAGACCAUGGGCCUCCUAAUCACCUGGCGUGUUUGUCCACGUGCAGAUUCUGGGGCUCACACCGGACCCUCUGAAACAGAACACCUGGGUUUGGGGCCUGUGUGUCUGCAUUUCAUUCAAUUAUGGAGAAGGUUCUGAGACACGGUGCCUAGAAAAGUGGGGUGUGUUGCUUGAAGGGGACGACAUGGCAGGGUCUGAGAAGGCAGCAUGAAAUGCAUUUUCUCUUCUUUUAGCCCAAACCUUGCAGGAAAGAGCAAUGGGGUA
rnacentral:lncRNA from 1 species